rfam:Hafnia alvei FB1, complete genome.
AAACGCCAUGUUUGCGCUUACAGCAUAACGAUAAUAAUGAAAUUCCUCUUUGACUGGCCAAUAGAGAUAUUGGCCAUUUUUUU